GUGUUCGCUUCAGCAGCACACAUACUAAAACUGAAAUGAUAUAGAGAAGAUUAGCAUGGCCCCUGUGCAAGGAUGACACACAAAUUUGUGAAGAAUUCCAUAUUUUU
ensembl:snRNA U6 U6 spliceosomal RNA